rnacentral:rRNA from 1 species
UACGGGAGGCAGCAGUGGGGAAUAUUGCGCAAUGGGGGAAACCCUGACGCAGCGACGCCGCGUGCGGGAUGAAGGCCUUCGGGUUGUAAACCGCUUUUGAUUGGGAGCAAGCCUUUUUGGUGAGUGUACCUUUCGAAUAAGCGCCGGCUAACUACGUGCCAGCAGCCGCGGUAAU